rnacentral:tRNA from 1 species
GCCCUCGUGGCCCAACGGUAGAGGCAACGGUUCGAGGGACCGUACGGUGUGCGUUCGAAUCGCACCGAGGGCA